rnacentral:rRNA from 1 species
GACGAACGCUGGCGGCGUGCCUAACACAUGCAAGUCGAACGAAGUGGCGAACGGGUGAGUAACGCGUAAUCAACCUGCCCUUCAGAGGGGGACAACAGUUGGAAACGACUGCUAAUACCGCAUACUGAUGGAGGAGAUUGCGUUGGAUUGGCUCGUUGGAGGGGUAACGGCCCACCAAGGCGAUGAUCAGUAGGCGGUCUGGGGGGGGGGACGGGCAAAAUGGGACUGGGACACGGGCCAGACUCCUUAGGGAAGGAGCAGGGGGGGAACUUCCGCAAUGGACGGAAGUCUGACGGAGCAACGGCGGGGGAGUGAUGAAGGCCUUCGGGUUGUAAAGCUCUGUUAAUCGGGACGCGGUACCGGAAUAGAAAGCCACGGCUAACUACGUGCCAGCAGCCGCGGUAAUAC